rnacentral:tRNA from 1 species
UCCCUGAUGGUCCGGUGGUCAGGACUCUGCACUUUUAUUGCCAAAGGUGCAGGUUCAGUCCCUGGUUGGGGAA